rnacentral:rRNA from 1 species
GAUGAACGCUGGCGGCGUGCCUAACACAUGCAAGUCGAGCGAUCUUCUUCGGAAGAGAGCGGCGGACGGGUGAGUAACGCGUGGGUAACCUGCCCUGUACACACGGAUAACAUACCGAAAGGUAUGCUAAUACGGGAUAACAUAAGAAAGUCGCGUGGCUUUCUUAUCAAAGCUUUUGCGGUACAGGAUGGACCCGCGUCUGAUUAGCUAGUUGGUAAGGUAACGGCUUACCAAGGCGACGAUCAGUAGCCGACCUGAGGGGGUGAUCGGCCACAUUGGAACUGAGACACGGUCCAAACUCCUACGGGAGGCAGCAGUGGGGAAUAUUGCACAAUGGGCGAAAGCCUGAUGCAGCAACGCCGCGUGAGCGAUGAAGGCCUUCGGGUCGUAAAGCUCUGUCCUCAAGGAAGAUAAUGACGGUACUUGAGGAGGAAGCCCCGGCUAACUACGUGCCAGCAGCCGCGGUAAUACGUAGGGGGCUAGCGUUAUCCGGAAUUACUGGGCGUAAAGGGUGCGUAGGCGGUCUUUCAAGUCAGAAGUGAAAGGCUACGGCUCAACCGUAGUAAGCUUUUGAAACUGUAAGACUUGAGUGCAGGAGAGGAGAGUGGAAUUCCUAGUGUAGCGGUGAAAUGCGUAGAUAUUAGGAGGAACACCAGUUGCGAAGGCG